GAUGAACGCUGGCGGCGUGCCUAAUACAUGCAAGUCGAGCGAACAGACGAGGAGCUUGCUCCUCUGACGUUAGCGGCGGACGGGUGAGUAACACGUGGAUAACCUACCUAUAAGACUGGGAUAACUUCGGGAAACCGGAGCUAAUACCGGAUAAUAUAUUGAACCGCAUGGUUCAAUAGUGAAAGACGGUUUUGCUGUCACUUAUAGAUGGAUCCGCGCCGCAUUAGCUAGUUGGUAAGGUAACGGCUUACCAAGGCAACGAUGCGUAGCCGACCUGAGAGGGUGAUCGGCCACACUGGAACUGAGCCACGGUCCAGACUCCUACGGGAGGCAGCAGUAGGGAAUCUUCCGCAAUGGGCGAAAGCCUGACGGAGCAACGCCGCGUGAGUGAUGAAGGUCUUCGGAUCGUAAAACUCUGUUAUUAGGGAAGAACAAAUGUGUAAGUAACUAUGCACGUAUUGACGGUACCUAAUCAGAAAGCCACGGCUAACUACGUG
rnacentral:rRNA from 1 species